rnacentral:lncRNA from 13 species
CUGACUGGCUGGUUCUUCUGCCUGUAGAACUGACUGGCUGGUUCUUCUGCCUGUAGAACUAACUGGCUGGUUCUUCUGCAUGUAGAACUAACUGGCUGGUUAUUCUGCAUGUAGAACUAACUGGCUGACUGUCUGGUUAGUCACUGACUGGCUGACUGGUUCUUCUGCCUGUAGAACUAACUGGCUGCCUGACUGGUUCUUCUUCCAGGAGGUUUUAAAGCAUGGCUCUACGCUGACCUUUUUUUACUAGGAGCAUGUGUGCGCGCACCUGUUGAAAAAUGUUGGCGCACACAAAGUAAUUUAGGAGCACAAUGAAAAAUAUUUAAUAUGAGAUAUUAAAGCUAGAAUCACACAGCUAAAUAUUUAGACACAUAUAUACGAGUAGAAUGGUGGCACUGUUGAGCCCUUCAAAGAUGGUGGCUUUCAAACCAAUGUUCACAGGCUGGUGGAUGGACUACUUUACCAUAACCCACCUUCACAGGCUGACGGAUGGACUACGUUACCAUAACCAGCCUUCACAGGCUGGUGGAUGGACUACGUUACCUUAACCCGCCUUCACAGGCUGGUGGAUGGACUAACCACACAAGACACAAGGGACAAACAGGGAAUCAAAUCCCCCAAAGAUUCCUCUUCUUCUCCUCCUUCCCCUCUUCCUCCCCUGUUCCUCCUCCUCUCAAAGGAAGUUCUGUGAUGUUUCUUAUCGUUUAUAAUCCAAAUGCAUCCUGGGAAUUUGUACAGUCCACACAAGUGUGAUAUUUAUUUAUCUUUGUACAUAGCUCCGCCCCCAACCCAUAGCUCCGCCCCAACUCAUAGCUUCGCCCCCAACCCAUAGUCGCUGAAGUACAUUUAUUAUGGAAUGAUACCAAUCUUAAAUAUUAUUUUAUAUUUAUCAAAAAUAAUAUCUUUUUUUUUUUUUUUUUUUAAUAUGAAAGUGUUAUUAUUGCUGGUCAUUUGUUUGUCUUUGUCUUUUUCUUUCCUCCCCCAUGGCACCUUAACGCCUAUACAUUUAGACAAAACAUUAGGAACACCGUCCUAAUAUUGGGUUGCAGCCCAUUUUGCCCUCAGAACAGCCUCAAUUCGUCGGGGCAUGGGACUCUACAAGGUAUUGAAAGCGUAACACAGGGAUGCUGGUCCACGUUGACUCCAAUGCUUCCCACAGUUGUGUCAAGUUGGUUGGAUGUCCUUUAGGUGGUGGACCGUUAUUGAUACACAGCGUUGCAGUUCUUGACACAAACCAGUGCGUCUGGCACCGUACACCAUUCAAAAGGCACUUACAUAGUCAUACCCCUUCACUGAUUCCACAUUUUGUUGUGUUACAGCCUGAACUCCAAAUGUAUUAAAUAUAAAACAUUUCUCACCCAUCUACACACAAGACCCCAUAAUGACAUCACAAUACCCCAUAACGACAUCACAAUACCCCAUAAUGACAUCACAAUACCCCAUAAUGACAUCACAAUACCCCAUAACGACAAAGUUAAAAAAUAUAUGUUUUUAGAAUUGUUAGCAAAUUGAAUAAAUAUGAAAUACAGAAAUAUCUCAUUUACAUAAGUAUUACAUAAGAGUUAAUACAUGUUGUAAUCGCUCCCAAAGGUGAUUCUGUCUGUCUUUCUGGGUAAAUCUCCCAAGAGCUUUCCACACCUGGAUUGUGCAACAUUUUCCCAUUGAAUCUUUUCAAAUUGGUUGUUGAUCAUUGCUAGACAACCAUUUUCAGGUCUUGCCAUACAUUUUCAAGUAGAUUUAAGUCAAAACAGUAUCUCGGCUUCUCAGGAACAUUCACUGUCUUCUCGGUAAAGCAACUCCAGUGCAGAUUUGGCCUUGUGUUUUAGGUUAUUGUCCUGCUGAAAGGUGAAUUCAUCUCCCAGUGUCUGGUGGAAAGCAGACUGAACCAGGAUUCCUGUAGGAUUUCACCUGUACUUAGCUCCAUUUCAUUUAUUUUUUAUCCUGAAAAACUUACCAGUCCUUAACUAUUACAAGCAUACCCAUAACAUGAUGCAGUGGUACUCAGUAAUGUGUUGUAUUGGAUUUGUCCCAAACACAACACUUUGUAUUCAGGAUAAAAGUUAUUUGCUUUGCCACAUUUGUUGCAGUAUUACUUUAGUGCCUUGUUGCAAACAGGAUUCAUGUUUUGGAAUAUUUUUAUUCUAUACAGGUUUCCUUCUUUUCACUCUGUCAAUUAUGUUCGUAUUGUGGAGUAAUUACAAUGUUGUUGAUCCAUCCUGAGUUUUCUCCUAUCACAGCCAUUAAACUCUGUAACUGUUUUAAAGUCAUUUAAAGCCUCGUGGUGUAAUUAAUAACUUCAUCAAGGCUCAAAGGGAUAUUCAAUGUCAGCUUUAUAUAUUUUUACACAUCUACCAAUAGGGGCCCUUCUUUCUGAGGCAUUGGAAAACCUCCCUGGUCUUUAUGGUUGAACCUGUUUGAAAUUCACUGCUCGACCUUACAGAUAAUUGAAUGUGUGGGGUACAGAGAUGAGGUAGUCAUUAAAAAAUCAUGUUAAACACUAUUAUUGCACAGAGUGAGUCUAUGCAACUUAUUAUGUGACUUGUUAAGCACAUUUUUUACUCAUGAAAUGAUUUAGGCUCCUUACCAUAACAAAGUGGUUGAAUAAUUAUUGACUCAAGACAUUUUCAGCUCUUCAUUUUUAAUUAAUUUGUAAACAUUUCUAAAAACAUGAUCACUUUCACAUUAUGGGGUAUUGUGUGUAGGCCAGUGAUGACAAUCUAAACGUAAUCCAUUUUUAAAUGCAGGCUGUAACAAAGCAAAACAAAAUGUGAGAAAAGUCCAGCAGAGGGAAGACUUUCUGAAAGCACUGUAAAUAUUUAGUCUUGUAUUUUGUCACUCUGAAUGGCACACAAACACAAUCCAUGUCUUGAAGCUUAACAAUCCUUAUUGAACCAGGUCUCUUCCCCUUCAUCUACACUGAUUUAAAGGGGAUUUAACAAGUGACAACAAUAAGAGACCUUUUCACCUGGGUCAUAGGGAAAAAAGCAGGUGUUCCUAAUGUUUUGUUAACUCAGUGUAGUGCACUACUUUUGACCAGGGGGAAGGUAGUGCACUAUAAAUGGAAUAGGGUGCUAUUUGGGAUCCUGCGGCCUCAGUCAUCAGGAAGGAACAUGCACUUUGCCCGGAACUAGAACCAUCGUCAGUAGAACGACAAAGGGUUCUUGGUCAACAGAAUGUCCUUGUCUGCUGAACCCUUUGUUCUGGUCUCUCGCUCUCUCUGGUCUCGCUCUCUCUCUGGUGUCUCUCUCUCUGGUCUCGCUCUCUCUCUGGUGUCUCUCUCUCUGGUGUCUCUCUCUCUGGUGUCUCUCUCUCUGGUCUCGCUCUCUCUGGUCUCGCUCUCUCUCUGGUCUCGCUCUCUCUCUGGUCUCGCUCUCUCUCUGGUCUCGCUCUCUCUCUGGUGUCUCUCUCUCUGGUCUCGCUCUCUCUCUGGU